CACGUGGGUAACCUGCCCAAGAGACUGGGAUAACACCUGGAAACAGAUGCCAAUACCGGAUAACAACACUAGACGCAUGUCUAGAGUUUAAAGAUGGUUCUGCUAUCACUCUUGGAUGGACCUGCGGUGCAUUAGCUAGUUGGUAAGGUAACGGCUUACCAAGGCAAUGAUGCAUAGCCGAGUUGAGAGACUGAUCGGCCACGUUGGGACUGAGACACGGCCCAAACUCCUACGGGAGGCAGCAG
rnacentral:rRNA from 1 species